rnacentral:piRNA from 1 species
UAAAAAUCCAUUAAUAUAAUUUCUGUUAUA